AGAGUUUGAUCCUGGCUCAGAACGAACGCUGGCGGCAGGCUUAACACAUGCAAGUCGAACGCACCGCAAGGUGAGUGGCAGACGGGUGAGUAACGCGUGGGAACGUGCCCUUCAGUUCGGGAUAACCCAGGGAAACUUGGGCUAAUACCGGAUACGUGCGAGAGCAGAAAGAUUGAUCGCUGAAGGAUCGGCCCGCGUCUGAUUAGCUAGUUGGUAGGGUAAUGGCCUACCAAGGCGACGAUCAGUAGCUGGUCUGAGAGGAUGAUCAGCCACAUUGGGACUGAGACACGGCCCAAACUCCUACGGGAGGCAGCAGUGGGGAAUAUUGGACAAUGGGCGCAAGCCUGAUCCAGCCAUGCCGCGUGAGUGAUGAAGGCCUUAGGGUUGUAAAGCUCUUUCGGCGGGGACGAUAAUGACGGUACCCGCAGAAGAAGCCCCGGCUAACUUCGUGCCAGCAGCCGCGGUAAUACGAAGGGGGCAAGCGUUGUUCGGAAUCACUGGGCGUAAAGGGCGCGUAGGCGGCCUGAUAAGUCGGGGGUGAAAGCCUGUGGCUCAACCACAGAAUUGCCUUCGAUACUGUCGGGCUUGAGACCGGAAGAGGUAAGUGGAACUGCGAGUGUAGAGGUGAAAUUCGUAGAUAUUCGCAAGAACACCAGUGGCGAAGGCGGCUUACUGGUCCGGUUCUGNNGCUGANNNNNGAAAGCGUGGGGAGCAAACAGGAUUAGAUACCCUAGUAGUCC
rnacentral:rRNA from 1 species